UUACCGCGGCUGCUGGCACGGAGUUAGCCGGUGCUUUCUUGGGAGGUACCGUCAGAACUUCUUCCCUCCCGACAGGGCUUUACAAUCCGAAGACCUUCAUCACCCACGCGGCGUAGCUGCGUCAGGCUUUCGCCCAUUGCGCAAUAUUCCCCACUGCUGCCUCCCGUAGGAGUCUGGACCGUGUCUCAGUUCCAGUGUGGCUGAUCAUCCUCUCAGACCAGCUACCCAUCGUACCCUUGGUGGGCCGUUACCCCGCCAACUAGGAUUAAAUAAUGGGACGCAGGCCCAUCCCCUGGCGACCGAAGUCUUUGACCCGUGGGCCAUAUGCAGUAUUAGCCACAGUUUCCCGUGGUUAUCCUCCACCAGAGGGCAGGUAACCUACGUGUUACUCACCCGUUCGCCACUCCCGUCCGAAGACGAGCGUUCGACUUGCAUGUGUUAAGCUCGCCGCUAGCGUUCGCUCUGAGCCAUGAUCAAACUC
rnacentral:rRNA from 1 species